rnacentral:sRNA from 1 species
GAAAGAGCUUUUGAGAUUGAAGAAACAGAGGAAUCCGUCUUCUUCGCCGGUGACGGCGAGGACAGUGUCGUCUUUGUCUCCGUCGUCGUCCACGUCAUCAUCAAGUUCACUUGAGGACGCAGCGAAGAGAGAGGAGAAAGAGAAAGAAGGGAAGAGAGGUAAGAAAGGAUUAGAGAGAACGAGAUCGGCGAGUAUGAGGAUAAGGCCAAUGAUUCAUGUUCCUAUUUGCACUCCUUCUAAAUCCUCUCUUCCUUUGCCUCCUCUGUUUCCUCUUUCGCUUAAGAAAAACAGAGUAGAGAGACGCGCCUAGAAGAUUUGAUCUAUCUUUGGAUUGAAAAAAACAAUUAUUGGUUGAAUUUGUUCAGAUUCUCAAGUGUUAACUCAUGUGGU